rnacentral:ncRNA from 10 species
GAUAUUCAUCAAGAGUGAGAUUAAAUUCUCCUCCAACCUGCCAACUCCGGCAAGGUGGAAAAAUGAUGGGGUUAAUCAACAAUUAAAGGAGUAAGA